rnacentral:rRNA from 1 species
UGGGGAAUAUUGGACAAUGGGCGCAAGCCUGAUCCAGCCAUGCCGCGUGAGUGAUGAAGGCCCUAGGGUUGUAAAGCUCUUUCAGCGAGGAGGAUAAUGACGUUACUCGCAGAAGAAGCCCCGGCUAACUUCGUGCCAGCAGCCGCGGUAAUACGAAGGGGGCUAGCGUUGUUCGGAAUCACUGGGCGUAAAGCGCACGUAGGCGGACUUUUAAGUCAGGGGUGAAAUCCCGGGGCUCAACCUCGGAACUGCCUUUGAUACUGGAAGUCUGGAGUCCGAGAGAGGUGAGUGGAACUCCGAGUGUAGAGGUGAAAUUCGUAGAUAUUCGGAAGAACACCAGUGGCGAAGGCGGCUCACUGGCUCGGUACUGACGCUGAGGUGCGAAAGCGUGGUGAGCAAACAGGAUUAGAUACCCUGGUAGUCCACGCCGUAAACGAUGGAAGCUAGCCGUCAGGGUGCAUGCAUCUUGGUGGCGCAGUUAACGCAUUAAGCUUCCCGCCUGGGGAGUACGGUCGCAAGAUUAAAACUUAAAGGAAUUGACGGGGUCAUAGCUGUUUCCU